rnacentral:lncRNA from 1 species
UCCCUGCCAUGAGAGGCCUAACGAGGGUCACGCAUUGCCCACCUCACAGCGAAAGAGGGGCAUCCCUGCCUCUUCUCUCCUCCCCACACCCACUUCCACAUCCCCUUCAGCCCAGAGGACUCCAGACGUUCCCCCCACAGAGAGGGAAAUGCCCCAGGAUUUUACUUUCAGCCUUGGAAGGCCCAUGACGAUAGUCUAUGCUAAAAGAAGGCAAGAAAGAAUCAUUUAGAUCUCUGGGUCUCAAGUUUUGGUGUGCCUCAGAGUCACCUGGAAGACUCAUCAAAACACAGAUCACGAGCCUCUACCCCAGAAUGUGUAAUCCAGCGUAGUUCAGAGACGGAGCCCAAGAACUUGCAUUUCUAACAAGUUUCCAGGUGAUAUUGGUACUGGUGCUGGUGGGGAGACCACACUUUAACAACCACUAGUUUAGAUCAACUCCAGAAUGAUCUGGCCUCCUACACAAGAUACUUAGGACAGAGAGGAUGAUGCAUAUCAUCCCUUACCUGUGGUGAAGAGGCCUAGUACUCUGGUUUUAUACAUGAGGGACCUGAGGCCAGUGAAAAAUCCAUGGCUUGUCCAGGAACAGGUACAAGUCUCCUGACUAAUUAUGAAUGCAAGAGGUCAGAUUUCUCCAAGCAAAACUGAAAAGGCUUUAUGGAGACAGAUAGCUCUACGAAGUAUUCAAGAAAUGGUGCCCUCUUUCCAACUCUGAGAACCAGUGGAGAAAAGUGAUGAGUCCAUCCUGAGCCUACUCUUUCCAAUCUGAUUCUUGAAAUCCAACAAUCCAUCUUUGUAAUCUCUACUCUCGGCUAUUCCACUCAUCUCAUUGGGAAUCUGAGUGAUGAACGAAGAGUGUUUUAGACUGAAGGGCAGAAGACUCACAUUCCAGUCCAGCGUUAGGCACUGAGUAUUUAAACUGGCUGAAUUAAAUAAAUGGGUUCAUUCCUGAGACUAGCACAGCUUGGUGAAACAAAUAUACUCCAAUUAAAGAAAAACGUCAGGGAGUUCCCACUGUGGCAAUACGGAAACAAUCCGACUAGGAACCAUGAGGUUGUGGGUUGGAUCCCCGGCCUUGGUCAGUGGGUUAAGGAUCCAGUGUUGCUGUGAGCUGUGGUGUAGGUCGCAGACACUGCUUGGAUCUGGUGCUGCUGUGGCUGUGGUGUAGGCUGGCAGCUGUAGCUCCGAUUUGAGCCCUAGUCUGGGAACCUCCGUAUGCCGCAGGUGCAGCCCUAAAAAAAAAAAAAAAAAAAGUCAAGGUGUCAAAGGACUAAAUGCUCCAAUCAAAAGACAUAAGGUGGCUGACUGGAUAAAAAAACAAGACCCAUCCUUCCACUGCUUACAAGAGAUGCACUUUGGAAUUAAAGACACACAGAGACUUAAAAUGAAGGGAUGGAAAAAAAUAUUUUAUGCAAACAGAAAUGACAAGAAAGCUGGAGUAGUCAAAAGAGACUUUAAGACAAAGUGUAAAACAACAAAAUAACAUUUUUUCUUCCUGUUCAAAAAAAUAAUAGAGUAACUGGGGUCAUCUAGGGACUGAAUAAUUGGAAAGAGGACUUCUAAAGUCCCAAAAAGCUCCAGCAUUUUGCCACUCCCUCUGAUUUCCCUGGUUAUGAAUGAACUAAAAUAAUGGAUGAGAGAAAGGCUGGAGCCACAAGAGACAAAGCUCUAAGUGCAAAGGUCUCUUCCGAAAGCAGAGAACGAAAACCUCUCAUUUUCUCUCUGCACCAGCGGCUCAGGAGGGCAAUGACCAGUCCCUUCUCAUGAAGUCUGAUCAGUCUACUCACUGCAGCCCACAAAGAAAAAGUGGUUUGGCAUGAACACUGGUCCCUGGGCACCACAUUUUCUGAAAAGCUGGUUAUCGUGGUGAUCUAUUUUCAAACGAAGAUCACGAUAAUCUAAGCAGGAACACCGUGCUAUUUGAAAAUAAAAUUUAGCCAAGAAAUGUGAGCCACCAAACCGGCCUGAUCCAUUCCAUUAUUAUUCAGCCAAGGUUAAGUGAGCACCAACAGAUGAGGGGAGGGGAGCGACACGCCCCUCCUUAACUCAGCAGAGCCCCCAAACCAGCCCCAAAGCAUGGACUUAAGUGUAAAGUGCAUUUUUGCACUUACAUGGAAAGGAAAGAAUGUAACUGCCCCAGAGCUGAAGAAGUCAACCCAGGACACCAUGGAUUGAUAUAAAAACUUUAAUUCCAGCCAGCCAAAAACCAAAAGAAAAAUAGUGCAGGAGAGGGACUUUUAUUCCCCGUAUAAUGAUGCCAAAUGUUAGAAACAAGCUCCAAGAACGAGUAUGAGGAACAUGUGAGUGUUCUGGGCAUCUGCAGGAAUAGACCACAUCAAUCAAUAACCAGCAAAUCUGUCCCAGGCAUUCCUUUGAGAGGUUUCUGAGCCACUGCUGUUGAACUGCAUUCGCUUGAUCCUGAUGAGACCCGAAUCCCGUUGAAAUGGAGUGGUCGCACUCCUAACGGCUUUGCCCACUUCGCCUGCAAAGAAUCUUAUUCUGUUUUACACCUGAUGAUUUUUCUGACAAAAUCCUGUCCCUGCCUGUCAGCUCCACUUC